rnacentral:rRNA from 1 species
GUCCAGACUCCUACGGGAGGCAGCAGUGGGGGAUAUUGCACAAUGGGGGAAACCCUGAUGCAGCGACGCCGCGUGAGUGAAGAAGUAUUUCGGUAUGUAAAGCUCUAUCAGCAGGGACGAAAAUGACGGUACCUGAGUAAGAAGCACCGGCUAAAUACGUGCCAGCAGCCGCGGUAAUACGUAUGGUGCAAGCGUUAUCCGGAUUUACUGGGUGUAAAGGGAGCGCAGGCGGUGCGGCAAGUCUGAUGUGAAAGCCCGGGGCUCAACCCCGGGACUGCAUUGGAAACUACCGAACUAGAGUGUCGGAGAGGUAAGUGGAAUUCCUAGUGUAGCGGUGAAAUGCGUAGAUAUUAGGAGGAACACCAGUGGCGAAGGCGGCUUACUGGACGAUAACUGACGCUGAGGCUCGAAAGCGUGGGGAGCAAACAGGAUUAGAUACCCUCGUACU